rnacentral:misc_RNA from 1 species
AAGUCGUAACAAGGUCUCCGUAGGUGAACCUGCGGAGGGAUCAUUCACAUGAUUACUUUUGAUAAACAAACUGUGAACUUUAUAUACUAUUCGUGUUUAUUGUCAGUUUAACUUUCAUUAAACAUUGUCAUUCGUUGAACAUAAGAUAGUUGGCUUGAAUUUUAUAAUUCUUUCUCAGCUUUGAUUUGAUUGAAAAUUAAACACUUUCUUUCAAUCAACCAUAAACAUAGAAACAACUCUAUGCCCUGGAUAUCUUGGUUCUC